CAGGGGGCGUGCUAUACAUGCAAGUCGAACGCACAGCGAAAGGUGCUUGCACCUUUCAAGUGAGUGGCGAACGGGUGAGUAACACGUGGACAACCUGCCUCAAGGCUGGGGAUAACAUUUGGAAACAGAUGCUAAUACCGAAUAAAACUUAGUGUCGCAUGACACAAAGUUAAAAGGCGCUUCGGCGUCACCUAGAGAUGGAUCCGCGGUGCAUUAGUUAGUUGGUGGGGUAAAGGCCUACCAAGACAAUGAUGCAUAGCCGAGUUGAGAGACUGAUCGGUCACAUUGGGACUGAAACACGGCCCAAACUCCUACGGGAGGCUGCAGUAGGGAAUCUUCCACAAUGGGCGAAAGCCUGAUGGAGCAACGCCCCGUGUGUGAUGAAGGCUUUCGGGUCGUAAAGCACUGUUGUAUGGGAAGAACAGCUAGAAUACGAAAUGAUUUUAGUUUGACGGUACCAUACCAGAAAGGGACGGCUAAAUACGUGCCAGCAGCCGCGGAAAUACGUAUGUCCCGAGCGUUAUCCGGAUUUAUUGGGCGUAAAGCGAGCGCAGACGGUUUAUUAAGUCUGAUGUGAAAGCCCGGAGCUCAACUCCGGAAUGGCAUUGGAAACUGGUUAACUUGAGUGCAGUAGAGGUAAGUGGAAUCG
rnacentral:rRNA from 1 species